GAUGAACGCUGGCGGCGUGCCUAAUACAUGCAAGUCGAGCGAACAGACGAGGAGCUUGCUUCUCUGACGUUAGCGGCGGACGGGUGAGUAACACGUGGAUAACUUACCUAUAAGACUGGGAUAACUUCGGGAAACCGGAGCUCAUACCGGAUAAUAUAUUGAACCUCAUGGUUCCAUAGUGAAAGACGGUUUUGCUGUCACUUAUAGAUGGAUCCGCGCCGCAUUAGCUAGUUGGUAAGGUAACGGCUUACCAAGGCAACGAUGCGUAGCCGACCUGAGAGGGUGAUCGGCCACACUGGAACUGAGACACGGUCCAGACUCCUACGGGAGGCAGCAGUAGGGAAUCUUCCGCAAUGGGCGAAAGCUUGACGGAGCAACGCCGCGUGAGUGAUGAAGGUCUUCGGAUCGUAAAACUCUGUUAUUAGGGAAGAACAAAGGUGUAAGUAACUAUGCACGUCUUGACGGUACCUAAUCAGAAAGCCACGGCUAACUACGUG
rnacentral:rRNA from 1 species